rnacentral:snRNA from 1 species
AGAUGGUGUUCUGGCUCCACAUCUGUCACCCACUCCUGCUCAGGGCUGGCCAAGUGGGUGCCCCUUCCUCCCUUGUGGCUCUAUCUCUGUGCAAGUUGCUAACCGAAGCUGCGUGCUCAGAGGACGAUCCUCCCAGACUGUGCAUUGGAGCCCAGGGUGCAGGUGAGGUUGCACUGGCCCUAGAAGCUCCAAAGUAACCGUCAAGGUCCCUCAGUGCUGAGGCGGUCGGGCUCGUCUGAGCUCUUCUCAUCAACAUCCACUGGAAAAUGAGCACUUUACACAAUUAUGU